CUGGGAUUACAGGCGUGAGCCACCACGCCCGGCCAAAAUCUCUUUUCUUUAGAAAUUUCUCAGCCUCAGGUAUUCCUUUACAGCAACGCAAACAGACUAAUGCAGUAAUACAGUUAACACUACAUAAUGCUGACUGUUCAAGUGCUUUAUGUGCAUUCAGUGACUGGUCCUCAGAACAACCCUAUGAAAUAAGGCUCCCUAUUUUUACCUUUGGGGAAACUGAGGCACUGGUUCAGGAGUCAGCAAACUAUGGUUCACUGGCGAAAUCUGGGCUGCCGGCUGUGUUUGCAGAGGGAGUGUUACUGGAGAACCACCAUGCCCAUUCAUUACCUGCUGUCCCUGGCUGCUUCUCCCUCUACCUGCAGACUCCAGUAGUUGCAACAGGGACCUAUGGUCCACAAAGCCGAAAAUAUACACCGUCUGGCCCACAACUGGCUACGCAGUUGUAGUAGCUCAGUGCAAAAUGAAAAUGUAGGGGUGUUGUUUGUAAACUAAGAAUGUGGCCGGACAAGGUGGCUCAUGCCUGUAAUCCCAGCACUUUGGGAGGCCGACGUGGGCAGAUCACCUGAGGUUGGGAGUUCAAGACCAGCCUGGCUAACGUUGCGAAAUCUGUCUCUACUAAAAAUACAAAAACUAACCAGGCAUGGUGGCACACGCCUGUAAUCCCAGCUACUUGGGAGGCUGAGGCAGGAGAAUCACUUGAACCCAGGAGGCAAAGGUUGUAGUGAGCCGAGAUCACGCCACUGCACUCCAGCCUAGGCAACGGAGUGAGACUCUGUCUCAAAAUAAAUGAAUACAUAAAAUUAAUUAAUUAAGAAUGUUAAAGCGGUGACAGCAGAGCAUUAAACCAAACUCGGGGACUUAGAAGCCUGGGGCCCUUGUGUGUGCUGGAGAUAGGAGCUGGUGAAACCAACUCUAAUCUGGACCUUUAUAGAAAACAUUGGAUGAUGCCUCUGCUGGAAAAUGUAAUAACUCACCCAAAGUCACGUCGAAGUUUGUUGCAGAUUUGGGUUUUAGACCUAUGCAGGUGUCCAGAACCUGUGCUCCUGCCCUCUCCCACCUCUUAGGGGCUUGCACACAAUGUUGGGGAGGGGCCCAAAUACAAGUGUCCUCGAAGACUGCUGGUGGUGACACAAAGUGCCGCACUCUUUCUGGUGUACGAUUUGGAAAAAUUUAUCAAAGGCUUAAAACAUACUCAUGACUCAG
rnacentral:lncRNA from 1 species